rnacentral:rRNA from 1 species
UGGCGGACGGGGGAGUAAUGUCUGGGAAACUGCCCGAUGGAGGGGGGUAACUACUGGAAACGGUAGCUAAUACCGCAUAACGUCGCAAGACCAAGAGGGGGACCUUCGGGCCUCUUGCCAUCGGAUGUGCCCAGAUGGGAUUAGCUAGUAGGUGGGGUAACGGCUCACCUAGGCGACGAUCCCUAGCUGGUCUGAGAGGAUGACCAGCCACACUGGAACUGAGACACGGUCCAG